GACGAACGCUGGCGGCGUGCCUAAUACAUGCAAGUCGAGCGGACCGAACAGGAGCUUGCUCUUGUUCGGUUAGCGGCGGACGGGUGGGUAACACGUGGGUAACCUGCCCGUAAGACCGGGAUAACUCCGGGAAACCGGAGCUAAUGCCGGAUAACACCGAAGACCGCAUGGUCUUUGGUUGAAAGGCGGCUUCGGCUGCCACUUACGGAUGGGCCCGCGGCGCAUUAGCUAGUUGGUGAGGUAACGGCUCACCAAGGCGACGAUGCGUAGCCGGCCUGAGAGGGUGACCGGCCACACUGGGACUGAGACACGGCCCAGACUCCUACGGGAGGCAGCAGUAGGGAAUCUUCCGCAAUGGACGAAAGUCUGACGGAGCGACGCCGCGUGAGCGAAGAAGGUCUUCGGAUCGUAAAGCUCUGUUGUUAGGGAAGAAGAAGCGUCGUUCGAACAGGGCGGCGCGGUGACGGUACCUAACGAGAAAGCCCCGGCUAACUACGUG
rnacentral:rRNA from 1 species